rnacentral:snRNA from 1 species
AACCCUAAUCAAGUGUAGUAUCUGUUCUUAUCAGUUUAUUAUCUAAUACAUCCCCCGUCGAGGGAUGACUUAUUAAAUGGAUUUUUCAAAUAGGGAGUGGGAAAUGGGAGUUGCUCCCCGCAUAUUUAUGUAAUUAACCUUUUAUUUAACUAGGCAAGUCAGUUAAGAACAA